CAACUGCUCCCUUUGUAUAUACACUCAAAGGUAUACUUCGAAUUCUCUGUAUCAACUAUCUAUUUCCCGUGGACUCUUUCUCUCCGAUUUUUAUCGUUUUUGUUCUUCUGUUAGAUGGCCCCGAUCGACACGAGGUGUCAAGUCCUCAGGCUACGGAAUCCCGCCGUAGACGAAAACGGAAAUUAGAUCAACGACUUUUUGCACAGUCAGGUCGUGCCUUCUCCCUGUUACACUACUGUGUGUUGCUUCCUGUGCCACGUGGUAUUUGGUUCUACGUGGUUCUGUGUUGCUUCUUUGACACAUCUUUCCACGCGUGUGAUCAGGCAAACUUUAUCUUAAGGCAACAAAUCGUGGGUGUGGCCAAUUUACGCAAUCCUUCAUAGAUGCACUCAAGGGUACAUUUUUGCUCCGCCAUUCUAGUCCUUUCUAGACCUAUGUACCCAUCCUAUUUCUUCGAUAGCGUUUUCCCGGUAUCGACUGUGUAUUGCUAUUCUUAAGUACCCUCUUCUUGCUUCGCAGCAUCUCAUCCAGGAAGAUCUUAUUAUGGGCCGCCGGAGUAUAGAUGUCCCCAUUGCCAUGCUAUUUUUUGGCAUCAGGAGAGCAUAAAAUGUG
rnacentral:lncRNA from 1 species